UUGAUUGACUUGCACCACCUGUGCUUAGGUGUCGGGGAAGGCCGCUUUGUCUCCCGGGCGCCUGAAGGUAGUGCACCCCACCGACGCUGGUGUUUCUCCAGCGAAGGCUCUGAACGUCGAGGGAGCACGAAAGAAGAACCUGUGUGGCCUGGAGGUCGGAGAUUCGAGUCGUUCCGCUAUGCGCGCCGUCUUCCCUCGACCGGACGGCAGGCCGCAAGCGCUACUGGACGUUGCUGGGAAGAGGAAGAAACCCCUGCCGAGGGGCGUCACUGCGCCGUCUCCAUUGUAGAGUGGCUCUGUCGACUGGCGCAAAGCGAAGCGUGCUGUGCAGUGCAACCGUGUGGGCUGUGUCAAGUUGGGAGGCACCCUUACCUCACCGCAGCGCGUCAUCAUCCAGCAGCCAAGCGGUGUACUGCGAUAACACCUGCAGAGACAACAGUCCCAAUACUGGAGAUGCGAUGUUGCCACCUUCUUCGGUCACAGUGACAGUUGCCCCGAGCUUCGCAAGCAGGUCGCGAC
rnacentral:lncRNA from 1 species